UUCUAGUGAGAGCAAUGCUCAGCUUCAUUGUCCAAACUCUGAAGUCACUCCUCCGUCCCCGCCUGCCUGGUGUCCACCUGCUGCUCUGCCUUUCGGGCUGCAGUCACGACCACAGAAGGUAGAGGAAGCAGCAAAACCAGGAUUUGCCUAGUUCAAGAAGUUUGCUAAUGGCCAUGGCCCACAGUAUGGCUUCUGCACCCCAGACAUGGUAAGGAGCAUCUUCACUCCUAAGGAACCAUCUGGAGCCCUCCAAAAAGCAGUCCAGGGGAAGCUUGGGGCUACAAGAGAUGGAAAAAUAUGCAAAGCAGCGAAUUUAAUUAUGAAUUGAUGAGGCCACUGUUCUCUAAGUGUCUGUCUUCGUUUUGUCACUCAUGGACCUGAUAAGAAGUUUAAAGAAGUUUCACGUUUAAAGAGGUUUUCCAUCCAAGGAUUAUCUCUCUUGCAAGGAUUUGGGGAUGGUUUACAGUGACUCCCAUAAAAGAAGGUACGUUCUUAUUAUAACAAAGCCCUUAUGUCCAGAUGGUUCUGCUCAAGAAAGCAAGGCUAUUUGACACAAUCCAAAUCACGGGACCGUGGAGAUGGAGGAAAUCAUGUUUGGGCUUGCAGUGCUGACCCACAUCUGAUCCUCUGAAAAGAGGAUCUCCUCAGAUUCAGGAAAUCCUAGUAAAGAUUCUACAUCCUCUCUUGAGACUCCAUUUUCUGCUGACAGCUGGGGCUCCACGAACAUUUGUUGAUUCAUCCAGAAACUCAGUCAGCUGUCUCUGGCCACCUCCAGUAUUCAGGGAGUCCUCAAGCUGUUCGUUCCCUCCAGGAGCAGAUGAGAAGAGCUACCACGGUGUCUCUCACAUCGCCCGUGGUGUCAUGGCAGGCCUCCCGGCCACCCACUGUCUCUUCAGUGUCCCUCCUCCCACUCAGCAGAACCAGUUCCAGUGGCUGUCCCAAAGG